rnacentral:rRNA from 1 species
GUGGGGAAUCUUGCGCAAUGGGCGAAAGCCUGACGCAGCAACGCCGCGUGCGGGAUGACGGCCUUCAAGGUUGUAAACCGCUUUCAGCAGGGACGAAAAUGACGGUACCUGCAGAAGAAGCCCCGGCUAACUACGUGCCAGCAGCCGCGGUAAUACGUAGGGGGCAAGCGUUGUCCGGAUUCAUUGGGCGUAAAGAGCUCGUAGGCGGUUCAGUAAGUCGGGUGUGAAAGCUCCGAGCUCAACUCGGAGAGGCCACCCGAUACUGCUGUGACUUGAGUACAGUAGGGGAGCGUGGAAUUCCUGGUGUAGCGGUGAAAUGCGCAGAUAUCAGGAGGAACACCAGCGGCGAAGGCGGCGCUCUGGGCUGUAACUGACGCUGAGGAGCGAAAGUGUGGGUAGCAAACAGGAUUAGAUACCCGGGUAGUCC